UACAGAGGUCCCAAGCGUUGUUCGGAUUCACUGGGCGUAAAGGGUGCGUAGGCGGUCGAGUAAGUCUGACGUGAAAUCUCCGGGCCUAACCCGGAAACUGCGUUGGAAACUACUUGGCUAGAGGAAUGGAGGGGAGACUGGAAUACUUGGUGUAGCAGUGAAAUGCGUAGAUAUCAAGUGGAACACCAGUGGCGAAGGCGAGUCUCUGGACAUUUCCUGACGCUGAGGCACGAAAGCCAGGGGAGCAAAAGGG
rnacentral:rRNA from 1 species